rnacentral:rRNA from 1 species
AAAGACGGUCUUGCUGUCACUUAUAGAUGGAUCCGCGCUGCAUUAGCUAGUUGGUAAGGUAACGGCUUACCAAGGCAACGAUGCAUAGCCGACCUGAGAGGGUGAUCGGCCACACUGGAACUGAGACACGGUCCAGACUCCUACGGGAGGCAGCAGUAGGGAAUCUUCCGCAAUGGGCGAAAGCCUGACGGAGCAACGCCGCGUGAGUGAUGAAGGUCUUCGGAUCGUAAAACUCUGUUAUUAGGGAAGAACAUAUGUGUAAGUAACUGUGCACAUCUUGACGGUACCUAAUCAGAAAGCCACGGCUAACUACGUGCCAGCAGCCGCGGUAAUACGUAGGUGGCAAGCGUUAUCCGGAAUUAUUGGGCGUAAAGCGCGCGUAGGCGGUUUUUUAAGUCUGAUGUGAAAGCCCACGGCUCAACCGUGGAGGGUCAUUGGAAACUGGAAAACUUGAGUGCAGAAGAGGAAAGUGGAAUUCCAUGUGUAGCGGUGAAAUGCGCAGAGAUAUGGAGGAACACCAGUGGCGAAGGCGACUUUCUGGUCUGUAACUGACGCUGAUGUGCGAAAGCGUGGGGAUCAAACAGGAUUAGAUACCCUGGUAGUCCACGCCGUAAACGAUGAGUGC